rnacentral:rRNA from 1 species
UACGUAGGGUGCGAGCGUUGUCCGGAUUUAUUGGGCGUAAAGAGCUCGUAGGUGGUUUGGUAAGUCGGAUGUGAAAUCUCCAGGCUCAACCUGGAGGGGUCAUUCGAUACUGCCAUGACUAGAGUUCGGUAGGGGAGUGUGGAAUUCCUGGUGGAGCGGUGAAAUGCGCAGAUAUCAGGAGGAACACCCGUAGCGAAGGCGGCACUCUGGGCCGAUACUGACACUGAGGAGCGAAAGCGUGGGGAGCGAACAGG